rnacentral:lncRNA from 1 species
AUGGUCUCCGCAGUCCUCCCCGCUCCCGCCCCGCCCUCGGCGGAGGCCGCUCUACCCGCCGCGUCUCGACGGCUCCUCCCCUUCUGCGCGCUGAGCAGGGGCCGCUACUUCCGGCGGCGCUCUGCGCUUCCUGUCGCGUCUCGGUGGUUCCGGCGCGAGGGCAGCGGCGGCGGUGAAAGUCACUUUGACGGGAACGGAGGCGGCUGCCAAGGGGGCGGACGCCACCCCCUGCCAGUGGUACUACCGCGUCUACAAGUCCAUCUGCCCCACUUCCUGGGUGAGUGGCCCCGGCGCGGUGACAUCCACCCCACCCCAGGGUGGCCCUUGGGUCCCCUGGGUGGCCUCGGGUCCUCCAGGUGGCCCCUGUGGCCUUUGUGGUGGCCUCACGGCCCUUGGGUGCCCCGGGGUGUUUCCACAUCGUUUCCAUGUCACUUGGGUUCCUUGUUUCUUCCCCGUGGCCAGCAUGGCCUUCAUGGUGGCCCUCGUGGCUCAUGGGUGUCCCGUGGUGGCCUCAUGGCCCCUUGGUGUCCCGGGGUGGCCUCGUGGCCCUUGGGUGCCCCGGGGCGUUUCCACAUCGUUUCGACGUCGCUUGGGUUCCUUGUUUCGCCCUCGUGGCCCUCAAGGUGGCCUUCGUGGCGGCCUCGUGGCCCCUGGGUGGCCCUCGGGUCCCCUGGGGUGGCCUCGUGGGCCUCGGGUCCUCCAGGUGGCCCCUGUGGCCUUCGUGGUGGCCUCGUGGCCCUUGGGUGCCCCGGGGUGUUUCCACAUCGUUUCGAUGUCACUUGGGUUCCUUGUUUCUUCCCCGUGGUCCUCGUGGUGGCCAUCGUGGCCUUCAUGGUGGCCCUUGGGUGCCCCGGGGUGGCCUCGCGGCCCUUGGGUGCCCCGGGGUGUUUCCACGUCACCUCGACGUCGCUUGGGUUCCUCAUUUCUUCCCCGUGGUCCUCGUGGUGGCCACCGUGGCCUUCAUGGUGGCCCUUGGGUGCCCCGGGGUGGCCUCGUGACCCUUGGGUGCCCCGGGGUGUUUCCACAUCGUUUCGGUGUCACUCAAGUCCCGUUUUUCAUCCCCGUGGCCUUCAUGGUGGCCCCAUGUCCAUCAGGUCCCCCGUGGUGGCCUCGUGGUCCUCAUGUCCCACAGGUGGCCCUUGGGUCCCCCGGGGUGGCCUCGUGGCCCUUGGGUGCCCCGGGGUACUUCCAUGUCGUUUCGAUGUCACUUGGGUCCCUGUUUUCUUCCCCGUGGCCCUCGUGGUGGCCACCGUGGCCUUCAUGGUGGCCACUGUGGCCUUCAUGGUGGCCCUUGGGUGCCCUGUGGUGGCCUCGUGGCCCUUUGGUGCCCCGGGGUGGCCUCAUGGCCCUUGGGUGCCCCAUGGUGUUUCCACGUCGUUUGUAUGCCACUUAGGACCCUUGUUACAUCCUGGUGGCCCUUGUGGUGGCCCUCAUGGUGGCCUCAUGGGCCUCGGGUCCCACAGGUGGCCCUUGGGUGACCCGGGGGGGGGGGGUCCUCAGGUCCCCCAGGUGGCCCUUGGGUGCCCCGUGGUGGUUCUACGUCACCUCGAUGUCGCUUGGGUUCCUUGAUUCUUCCUCGUGGUGGCCCUCGUGGCCUUCACGGUGGCCCUCGUGGCCCUUGGGUCCCCCGUGGUGGCCUCGUGGCCCUUGGGUGCCGCGCUUCAUCCCCGUGUCCCCCCGCGGUGUCCCUGUGGUGUCCCCGCGUCCUUCAGGACCUCCGUGGUGUCCCCACGGCCCCCCCCCCCCCUCGGUGUCCCUCUGGUGUCCCCACGUCCUUCAGGUCCCCCGCAACGUCACCGUGGGGUCCCCGGGCCCCCCGUGGUGUCCCCACCAGCACGAGGUCCUCGUGUCCCCCCCGUCCCCCCCCAACGUCCCCAGGGGGCCACCACGUCCCACGUGUCCCCUUUUUGGGGUCACCACGUCCCUUUUUGGGGUCACCACGUCCCUUUGGGGGGUCACCACGUCCCC